CCGCUGCUAUUCAACAUGGAAUCUGCCUGCCAAUCUGCCUGCCAAUCUGCGUGCCAAUCUGCCUGCCAACCUGCGUGCCAAUCUGCCUGCCAACCUGCGUGCCAAUCUGCCAACCAGAUGAGUAUCCUAUUCCUCCACCUGCCCGUGCUGUCUUCCUUCUCUAUACUCAUUGCCACCUUCUAACUCUAUAAUCUUUUCAAUAUGUACAGGAAUCCACUCAAUCCAUGCCUGUAUCUUCUCUUGUGGCAGAUCCUUCCAUGCCUGCUCCCAUACUCUAACAGCUUCUGUACAGUUCUUAGGAGCUUCUUUUCUUGUUGUUCUGCACUUCAUCCAGGGCCAAGCUGCCUCAAUUGCAUUGAGAUCAGGUGAAUUCCCACACCAAAGCAGCUGUUGAAUCCCAUGAAUAUUGUACAUAUAAUAUUGGAUAUAGUGAUUGUGUGAAGGGGCCUUAUCCUCUUGCACAAUAGUAUUUGAACAAUCAAUUUGACACUCUUUUGCAAAGGGAAAUAGCUUUGCUCCCAUUCUUACCUCUUUAUAGGUUCCAUUUCAGCAUUUAAAGCCUCAAUAUACUCAAGGGAUUGAGCACACUCCUGCAAGGUUUCUCUGACCCAACAAUGAAAUGGGUCCUUCUUAUUGUAUGAGAAGUAGGCUCAGAACAUGAAUUCAGAUGAUCCCUUCCAUCAUUCAUGUAUACAGCUUCAAGAAUAGAUCUCAUGAGGUGCACACCAUAUUCUAUAUCCACCUUGUCAAUGAAGAAGAAUAACAGAGGUUUCAUCUGACCAGAUAACAUUCUUCCAAUCCUCCAAGAUUCAAUCUUUAUGCUUCAGACAGAAUUGAAGUUGAUCUAGUCACAUCUUCUUGAUGAGUCCUGGCUUCCAUAUAGACUUUGUUUUUCACAGGCCUGCUUUGUGAAGAAUCCUUCAUAUAGUCAUAGAAGAUAUCUCAAUUCCUUCAUUACUGAAUUCAUUGACAAGAUCAGUACAUGUCUUUUCUCAUUCAUAUCAAUCACAUUGAAUCUUUGCAAGAAUAGUGUUCUUAAUACUAUCAUUUCUCUGAGUUGAUUGGCCAGAUUUGGGGGCAUCUUGAAGCCAUUCAUUGCAAAGUAUAAUAUGAGGCAGUUCAGGAUCAAAUCUGUGUUCAAUUGCAUGUUUAUAUAUAUGAUUGAUUUGACUCUUUGAGAUCUGAGUGAUUUCUGUGAUUUCAGCAUUUGACUUGCCAAAAUAGAGUGAUUUAAGAGCCACCACAAGAGCUCUUGUGACAAUAUCAGUAUUGAGUGUCAUAUGAAUCAGCAGAUGAAAUAUUAGAGAUGAGAUAUUUGAGAAAAAAGAGGAAUCAAUUCAGAAUAUGUGGCAUUCUCAUAUAAAUAGAAUGUG
rnacentral:sRNA from 2 species